rnacentral:rRNA from 1 species
AACGAACGCUGGCGGCAGGCUUAACACAUGCAAGUCGAGCGCCCCGCAAGGGGAGCGGCAGACGGGUGAGUAACGCGUGGGAAUCUACCCAUCUCUACGGAAUAACGCAUGGAAACGCGUGCUAAUACCGUAUACGUCCUUCGGGAGAAAGAUUUAUCGGAGAUGGAUGAGCCCGCGUUGGAUUAGCUAGUUGGUGGGGUAAAGGCCUACCAAGGCGACGAUCCAUAGCUGGUCUGAGAGGAUGAUCAGCCACACUGGGACUGAGACACGGCCCAGACUCCUACGGGAGGCAGCAGUGGGGAAUAUUGGACAAUGGGCGCAAGCCUGAUCCAGCCAUGCCGCGUGAGUGAUGAAGGCCCUAGGGUUGUAAAGCUCUUUCACCGGCGAAGAUAAUGACGGUAACCGGAGAAGAAGCCCCGGCUAACUUCGUGCCAGCCGCCGCAGUAACAC